rnacentral:rRNA from 1 species
AUUGAACGCUGGCGGCAGGCCUAACACAUGCAAGUCGAACGAGUGGCGGACGGGUGAGUAACGUCUGGGAAACUGCCUGAGGGAGGGGGAUAACUACUGGAAACGGUAGCUAAUACCGCAUACCAUCAGAUGUGCCCAGAUGUGGUUUGCUUGUUGGUGGGGUAACGGCUCACCAAGGCCCCGAUCCCUAGCUGGUCUGAGAGGAUGACCAUCCACACUUGAACUGAGACACGGUCCAGCCUCCUACGGGCGGCAGCGGUGGGUAGUCUUGCACAAUGGGCGCUGGCCUGAUGCAGCCAUGCCGCGUGUAUGAAGAAGGCAUUCGGGUUGUAAAGUACUUUAAGCGGGAAGGCGUUACCCGCAGAAGAAGCACCGGCUAACGCCGUGCCAGCAGCCGCGGUAAUAC